rnacentral:misc_RNA from 1 species
AUCAUAAGCUCUUGCUGCUUCUUCUUCGCCAUUGAACGUACCAAGCCAAAUCCUUUGAUGUUUUUCGUAGAUUUGUGCACCCCAUCGACCAUUUGGUUGAGGGACAACACCUUUGAACUUUGAAGAAGGAAGCUUAUUGUUGUUAUUAUUAGUAAUAGUAGUAUUUUUCGACUCUGCUUCUACACCGUUUGUGGAGUCAGCGUCUGUUACAACGCUGACUCCACUUCCCAUCUGGCGGGGAGACCCCGCCGGGGAAAUGGUUGAUGGGGAGUCACUAGUUGUGCUAAUUUCUUGAUCUAUGCAACUUACCUCCAUUUGCUCUGUUUUGCUCUGUUUUACUCUGUUUUGCUCUGUUU